GUCGCAGUAGCUCAGCUUGGGAGAGCGAUCGGCUGAAGACCGAUAUGUCGGGUGUUCAAAUCACCCCUGCGACAC
rnacentral:tRNA from 1 species